rnacentral:rRNA from 1 species
CCUACGGGCGGCAGCAGUGGGGAAUAUUGGACAAUGGGGGCAACCCUGAUCCAGCCAUGCCGCGUGUGUGAAGAAGGCCCUCGGGUUGUAAAGCACUUUCAGUGAGGAAGAACGCCUGGUGGUUAAUACCCAUCAGGAAAGACAUCACUCACAGAAGAAGCACCGGCUAACUCCGUGCCAGCAGCCGCGGUAAUACGGAGGGUGCGAGCGUUAAUCGGAAUUAAUGGGCAUAAAGCGCGCGUAGGUGGCUUGAUAAGCCGGUUGUGAAAGCCCCGGGCUCAACCUGGGAACGGCAUCCGGAACUGUCAAGCUAGAGUGCAGGAGAGGAAGGUAGAAUUCCCGGUGUAGCGGUGAAAUGCGUAGAGAUCGGGAGGAAUACCAGUGGCGAAGGCGGCCUUCUGGACUGAAACUGACACUGAGGUGCGAAAGCGUGGGUAGCAAACAGGAUUAGAUACCCUAGUAGUC